GGUGCUGUAGUGUAGUGGUCAUCAUGAAACGUUGUGGCCGUUUCGACCUGGGUUCGAUUCCCAGCAGCGCCA